rnacentral:rRNA from 1 species
AUUGAACGCUGGCGGAAUGCUUUACCCAUGCAAGUCGAACGGCAGCACGGACUUCGGUCUGGUGGCGAGUGGCGAACGGGUGAGUAAUGUAUCGGAACGUGCCCAGUCGUGGGGGAUAACGUAGUGAGAAUUACGCUAAUACCGCAUACGAUCUAUGGAUGAAAGCGGGGGAUCGCAAGACCUCGCGCGAUUGGAGCGGCCGAUAUCAGAUUAGGGAGUUGGUGGGGUAAAGGCCCACCAAGCCAACGAUCUGUAGCUGGUCUGAGAGGACGACCAGCCACACUGGAACUGAGACACGGUCCAGACUCCUACGGGAGGCAGCAGUGGGGAAUUUUGGACAAUGGGCGAAAGCCUGAUCCAGCCAUUCCGCGUGCAGGAUGAAGGCCCUCGGGUUGUAAACUGCUUUUGUACAGAACGAAAAGGUUUCUACUAAUACUAGGAGCUCAUGACGGUACUGUAAGAAUAAGCACCGGCUAACUACGUGCCAGCAGCCGCGGUAA